rnacentral:lncRNA from 1 species
CCUGGCGGGCCAAUCCCCGCUCCGCACCAGAGGCGCCUCCUCGGGUUUCUGCUGAUCUUGCAGGGUCCAGAAAUGGACCGCGCCGCCGCUCUGCCGUUGCUACCGCCGCGGCUGCUGUCACUACCGCAAUAGUCCCGCUCGACUCCGAGGCUUCCCAAACCCCAGGUGUCCAGCGGAGCUUCCUGGAGGACUAAGCUAGCGAGAGGCGGGGUGGAGGUGCUUGGAGUAGCUAUGUAGAUCCCGGGCGGCUCUCUCCUGCCGCCCACAGCCUGGAUCCAUCCCUCUAGAAGCGAAGCAGAGACUCCUGGAGUGCCAGAGAGAGCGAUUUUUUUUUUUUAAAUUUGAAUUUUAUUUUAAUUCUAGGGAUUUUUGUAGAGGUACCCCUCCGCCCCACUCCCCUCCCCCUCCCACCCCUUUCCCUCUCCAGCAACCCUAGUAACUUGGAACUGGAGAGGGGUCUUCCUAUCUUUCUUCCUUUCUGUAUAGUCUUUCGAGUUGUUAGAAAUGGGGGUGGGUAUAAAUAUUUCGGCAGCAGCGGCCCUAUAGAGCGAUCUCGGCAAGGAGAGGAGCGCAGGAGGAGAGAGCUGGAGGCUGAGUUUGUCACUGCGCCUUUUGGAUGCUGCUGUUGCUACCGCCGCCGCCAAGGAGACUUGCCGCAUUCCAACAGGAACUCUUCUCCCGACUCAACAUCGCCACUGACGCCUGCCCAGACACCCCUCCAGAUGGCGAACAUAACACUGGUGGUUCUUUUCCAAAGUCCUUGGAUUGCCUGACAAGAUCAGAUUCAUUCUCCUUAUCAUCUCUUCCUGGAGCACCCUUUUCUCGAUGACUUCAAUGUUGCAGGCUUCCUUUUUGAUCUCAGCUUCAUCACCUGCAUCCAUAGCAAGAAGACCUACCUGAAGAUCAUUCAGGAAAAACUGCUCUGAAAAAAAGAGCUUGAAGACUAAUCAUGGUUAUCCAAAGAGGAGAGAUGGUCAUUGGCAAGGGGGAAUAACAUGGAAUCUAUGACUAAGAACCUCUAAGCAGAGGAAUCUAUAAAGAGACUUUAGAAGUAGUAUUCUUGAAAAGGAGGACAUUUCCUAAAAUUAAGGGAUGGGUUUAAGUAGGGUUAUCCACUUUAUGAAAUUAUAGGUCAUGAUUUACUUAUAGCCCCACAUCCUAUCUCCUAGGGGUCAAUAAAAUGAUUCCAAAUAAUAGGAUAGAAGAAGAG